CCAAUAGCGUAUAUUAAAGUUGUUGCAGUUAAAAAGCUCGUAGUUUAAUUUCGGGGUUCAUACGUUGGUCGGGCUUUUUGGUCUGUACUGGCGUGAUGGAUUCCUACCUUCUGAAUAACUGGCAUGUCAUUAAUUUGGUGCGCCGGGGAAGCGGGACUGUUACCUUGAAAACAUUAUAGUGCUUAAAGCAGGCUAUCGCCUGAAUCCAUUAGCAUUGAAUAAUGAAAUAGGACGGCAUGGUUCAAUUUUGUUGGUUUCUAGGAUCACCGUAAUGAUUAAUAGGGAUAGUUGGGGGCAUUAGUAUUCAAUUGGCAGAGGUGAAAUUCUUGGAUUUAUUGAAGAAUAACUUCUGCGAAAGCAUUUGCCAAGGAUGUUUUCAUUAAUCAAGAACGAAAGUUAGGGGAUCGAAGACGAUCAGAUACCGUCGUAGUCUUAACCAUAAACUAUGCCGACUAGGGAUCGGACGAUGUUAAUUUUUUAAUGACUCGUUCGGCGCCUUACG
rnacentral:rRNA from 1 species